UCCAAAUCCACGAACUGACAAUAGUAACCGAACGCCAAUAUCUUCCAAGCGGCAAAUAAUCCAAACAAGCAGUCUCUAGUCACCGGUAAUAAAAUCCCCCCAAUAACGAGACCAAGCUCCGCUUUGAGGUAAAACACGAACUGAUUUACUGUGGGCUACCUGCCCGGUAUUUAUGCAGGUCUCCCACUUGGUGGACACUCCUCUAGGGGACCAAA